rnacentral:lncRNA from 1 species
GUGCGACAUGUGGGAGCACAUGAGAUCACCCUCAGUUUUUGGUGGAAUUCGUGGUGAUUAGUUUUUAGUUUUCUACAUUUGUAUGUUGUGUCUGGCGUAUGAUUAUUUGUCUGUGAUUCUUUUUCUUUUUUAGCCAUGACGUUGUCAGAUUAUUUUCGAUCUAUGGAUUUGAAUGUCCCUCUGGUAUCUUUCGACCAUCUUUAAUUGCUAUGUUAGUGAUAUUACUUAGAACAUAUUAGUACUUUUAAUAAUUUUUUAGUUAAAUAUUUAGAGGUGAAAGGUUUAAGAAUCUUUGAUUCCAUUUUUAUUCUUUUUUAGGACCCCUCUAGAUGUUACACCUCAUUUUAUAUUCAAAUGGGUAUACAGCAGUGUCUUUCAAACUCUGAUUAAUUAACUAUGUGUUGGACAUCUAUCAUUUUUAUAGCCUUUAUCUACCGGGUAGCUUGGUUGUUUAUACUUUUAUCAAAUUUACGAUAAGUCGGUGUUUUUAAUGCCUUCAAUUAACUCUUUGAUAGGCUUGUCGCGAUUGAAGUUUUGAGCAUUAUUUAAUCUUUAGUUGACAAGAGUCCUUAAACACUGUUUAUCAUCUUGAAAACGUAUCCAAGAAUUCACAUUGUCUUUGUGAAUAUUACCUUUACUGUUUAGUUAAUUUGUGGUCAUAUUCAUUUGACGUGGCUCAGUACUAUAACAUCCCGUGACUGUGUUAUUGUGCUAUGGUAAUUUUUUGUAUUCAUGUCCUUCGUGUUUGCUUAUGUGUUUUGUCUGUAUGCCUUUUCCUGUUUCUUUGUUGACAUAUUUGUUUGUAUUAUAGUGAUUUUUCCUCGUAUUUCAGUAUAUAUUUUUUCUAUUACUUUUGAAAUUGGUAUUUGCUUUCAAACCCUCUUCACCGCUUUGACUCCAAUUCUCAUAUUUGAUUAAACACAAACUAAACAGUAUUCAAAGUAUAGAAUAAGCAAUAUAUGGACACAAUAAUAUGCAUCAG